rnacentral:lncRNA from 1 species
GGAAAUUUUCAGAAGUAUUCUGAAAUCAAAGGUGUCUCUAGCAUGUGUUUUGUAGUUGAGUGAAGGUUAUUCAUCCUAUGUGGAGAGACUGGACAAGAACAGCCCCAAAGCAAAUGAACUGGGACUUGACAGCCUUUGUUCAGACUUGAAAACGGAUGUUCAACAGGAUGUCAGGAGAGAAGAGAUUGAUAAUUUUAUAGUUAAAAAGUGUUUUGGAAAAAUUCAGAAUGGAGACCAUGUCAGCCUGCAGUCAGGAAACUCAUGUCCUUGUUUCCAUGAUUUACAUAAACGAGGUUCAAAUCAGUUCUCUGGGUCACAUUGGGAAAGGUUGUCUUACGAUCAGAACUUCAGCAACCUUCAGGGAGGGAAACCAGUCACUACACUGAGAAACUCUUUAAAGGCAUAUGAGACUAUUACUGAAAGCUGAUCUGUUCUUUUUUAUUAUUAUUAUUUAUUAUUUUUAUUUUAUUUUAUUUUAUUUUAUUAUUUUUUUCCCUAAUUGUUACUGUGUAUAUCGUACAUACUGUUGUAUUUGACUGUCUCAUCUACAAAGCAACAUGCUUUCUGCUUGAAUCAGAAAAAACUACUGUUUACAGGCUGGUUUGCAUGUAUGCUUGAGUGACUGCUUGAGAGCUAAUACUGUUAGUUUUGGUUGACUUAAGUUACACUGAAAUCAUUUUAACAUACCUUUCAGUUAACCUAGUUAGCACAGUGUGGAAACUGUACAAGAAUUCCUUUCAUGUAAGUCUGUCCUUGUAUAAAACUUGCAUUUGGUUAGGAGUAUUUUUUAUUUAUUUAUUUAUUUUACCCUAAAAGCUCAUGCUCUUACUCUCCUAUUUUGCUAGCAGGGAACACCUGCUUAAUGCUUUUCAGCAGAAGAUACCAGUUCCGUAUAAAGCCCUGCAUGCCACAGUAAGGGCACAUCUGAUGUUACUGUUUGAAACAAUACAUAAAGAAGUUCUGUGUCAGGACACUUGUUUUGAUGCUAAAGCAAACCUGCAAAGCAAAUCUACCUUGGUUUGUUACCAAGGUAGAUUUGAGCAUGGUCAGUUAGUGCUGUGA